UCACGGAAUCAACAAUUCCAUUCUCUCACCGUGGUUGCUUUGCCGUGAACACGACAAAUUAUUCGAGCUCCUCUACAGCUCCUUUCAGGGUAUCACCACAGCGUCAGGCAAGCAUGACCGGAGCAACCAUACUUGAAAUCUUACUUGCAGCAUUUAUGAUAGCGGCUGUUGAGCCGUCUGAUGGAUACACCUGCGUACCGCCUGAGGGAGGCUGUCCAGUGGGCCAGAACUCCCAGCGGUUCUUCCUCAACCGUAGCGCCCAUGAUUGCUACGGCCUGCACACAAGUGGAUGUGAUGGACAGGGAUUCGACUCUAUAGUGUCUUGUAAAAUUAGCUGUCUUGGAAAGAGGUAAUUGUAGACUUGCCAUUGUGUCGGCCGGAACAUCAUACUAAAUGUUGGAUGAAAAUAAAACUAGGACAAAAUUCACCUG